rnacentral:misc_RNA from 1 species
GCACAAAAAUCCCCAUGCCACAGCAAGCGAGAGCGCGGCGCAAGAGCGAAAUUGAGGCGGCGCAGCUACAAUUCCUUCAAUUUCUAGGGUUCCGACGCUGCUCUGGCGAGCAGUGAGCUGAAUUCGACUCCGAUUCCAACCACUGACGGCUGUUCUAGGGUUUCGGCUUCGGAUUUGGAGGUUUCGUGCUCAAAAAGUCCGGAUCGAGCCGUGGAUGAGAGAUCUGAGCUUGGGGAGUUGAUCAUGGCGUCAUCCGAGGUGUCGGUGAGGGGGAGCAACGGCGGCAGGGGGGAGAGCUUCUCCUCCGGCUACAGCGAGCCGCACGACGGGGCCGUAACGGCGGAGGCGAGCCGAGGCGGCUUCGCCGCCCCCAUCCCCUCCGGCAACGAUACGGAGGAUGCUCUCUACACUGAGCUAUGGCACGCCUGCGCCGGUCCGCUUGUCACGGUUCCUCGUAAUGGUGAGCGAGUGUUCUACUUUCCUCAAGGUCACAUCGAGCAGGUGGAGGCGUCGACGAACCAGGUAGCUGAUCAGCAGAUGCCGAUGUACAACUUGCCCUGGAAAAUCCGCUGCCGUGUUCUCAACGUCCA